rnacentral:rRNA from 1 species
UUGAAGAGUUUGAUCAUGGCUCAGAUUGAACGCUGGCGGCAGGCCUAACACAUGCAAGUCGAGCGGUAGCACAGAGAGCUUGCUCUCGGGUGACGAGCGGCGGACGGGUGAGUAAUGUCUGGGAAACUGCCUGAUGGAGGGGGAUAACUACUGGAAACGGUAGCUAAUACCGCAUAACGUCGCAAGACCAAAGUGGGGGACCUUCGGGCCUCAUGCCAUCAGAUGUGCCCAGAUGGGAUUAGCUAGUAGGUGGGGUAACGGCUCACCUAGGCGACGAUCCCUAGCUGGUCUGAGAGGAUGACCAGCCACACUGGAACUGAGACACGGUCCAGACUCCUACGGGAGGCAGCAGUGGGGAAUAUUGCACAAUGGGCGCAAGCCUGAUGCAGCCAUGCCGCGUGUGUGAAGAAGGCCUUCGGGUUGUAAAGCACUUUCAGCGGGGAGGAAGGCGUUAAGGUUAAUAACCUCAUCGAUUGACGUUACCCGCAGAAGAAGCACCGGCUAACUCCGUGCCAGCAGCCGCGGUAAUACGGAGGGUGCAAGCGUUAAUCGGAAUUACUGGGCGUAAAGCGCACGCAGGCGGUCUGUCAAGUCGGAUGUGAAAUCCCCGGGCUCAACCUGGGAACUGCAUUCGAAACUGGCAGGCUAGAGUCUUGUAGAGGGGGGUAGAAUUCCAGGUGUAGCGGUGAAAUGCGUAGAGAUCUGGAGGAAUACCGGUGGCGAAGGCGGCCCCCUGGACAAAGACUGACGCUCAGGUGCGAAAGCGUGGGGAGCAAACAGGAUUAGAUACCCUGGUAGUCCACGCCGUAAACGAUGUCGAUUUGGAGGUUGUGCCCUUGAGGCGUGGCUUCCGGAGCUAACGCGUUAAAUCGACCGCCUGGGGAGUACGGCCGCAAGGUUAAAACUCAAAUGAAUUGACGGGGGGCCCGCACAAGCGGUGGAGCAUGUGGUUUAAUUCGAUGCAACGCGAAGAACCUUACCUGGUCUUGACAUCCACAGAACUUAGCAGAGAUGCUUUGGUGCCUUCGGGAACUGUGAGACAGGUGCUGCAUGGCUGUCGUCAGCUCGUGUUGUGAAAUGUUGGGUUAAGUCCCGCAACGAGCGCAACCCUUAUCCUUUGUUGCCAGCGGUCCGGCCGGGAACUCAAAGGAGACUGCCAGUGAUAAACUGGAGGAAGGUGGGGAUGACGUCAAGUCAUCAUGGCCCUUACGACCAGGGCUACACACGUGCUACAAUGGCAUAUACAAAGAGAAGCGACCUCGCGAGAGCAAGCGGACCUCAUAAAGUAUGUCGUAGUCCGGAUUGGAGUCUGCAACUCGACUCCAUGAAGUCGGAAUCGCUAGUAAUCGUAGAUCAGAAUGCUACGGUGAAUACGUUCCCGGGCCUUGUACACACCGCCCGUCACACCAUGGGAGUGGGUUGCAAAAGAAGUAGGUAGCUUAACCUUCGGGAGGGCGCUUACCACUUUGUGAUUCAUGACUGGGGUGAAGUCGUAACAAGGUAACCGUAGGGGAACCUGCGGUUGGAUCACCUCCUU